rnacentral:rRNA from 1 species
AUGCAGCCAUGCCGCGUGUAUGAAGAAGGCCUUCGGGUUGUAAAGUACUUUCAGCGGGGAGGAAGGUGUUGCGGUUAAUAACCGCAGCAAUUGACGUUACCCGCAGAAGAAGCACCGGCUAACUCCGUGCCAGCAGCCGCGGUAAUACGGAGGGUGCAAGCGUUAAUCGGAAUUACUGGGCGUAAAGCGCACGCAGGCGGUCUGUCAAGUCGGAUGUGAAAUCCCCGGGCUCAACCUGGGAACUGCAUUCGAAACUGGCAGGCUUGAGUCUUGUAGAGGGGGGUAGAAUUCCAGGUGUAGCGGUGAAAUGCGUAGAGAUCUGGAGGAAUACCGGUGGCGAAGGCGGCCCCCUGGACAAAGACUGACGCUCAGGUGCGAAAGCAUGGGGAGCAAACAGGAUUAGAUACCCUGGUAGUCCACGCCGUAAACGAUGUCUACUUGGAGGUUGUGCCCUUGAGGCGUGGCUUCCGGAGCUAACGCGUUAAGUAGACCGCCUGG